UACGGAGGGUGCGAGCGUUGUCCGGAAUCACUGGGCGUAAAGCGCGCGUAGGCGGCCCGGUAAGUCCGCUCUGAAAGUCCAGGGCUCAACCCUGGAAAGCGGGUGGAUACUGCCGGGCUAGAAUCCGGAAGAGGCGAGUGGAACUCCUGGUGUAGCGGUGGAAUGCGCAGAUAUCAGGAAGAACACCAAUAGCGAAGGCAGCUCGCUGGGACGGUAUUGACGCUAAGGCGCGAAAGCGUGGGGAGCGAACAGG
rnacentral:rRNA from 1 species